rnacentral:misc_RNA from 1 species
CAAGCAGCGACACUGUGCCACCCACCGCGCCGACCAACUUGCACCUCGUCUCCGACCAGGGUGGCGGGGAGUUCUAUAUUGGUUGGACACAGUCCACCGACAAUGUGGAUCCGCAAUACUUCAUUGAGUAUGAGAUCUACGUGAACGGUGUGUUGAGUCCGCUGGCUAUCUCUGCCGGGGUGGAUCAGGACUUCGUCUAUGCCUCCCCCGACUGCGAAAAUAAUUUCGUCGUCAAAGCCGUGGAUCAGACAGGUAACACGUCGGAGCCAAGCAACACACUCACGCUGUUUCCCUGGGGGCUGUGCCCAUGAGUGAUUGGGUUGUACUGCAUCGU